CACGUAGGGGGCGAGCGUUGUCCGGAUUUAUUGGGCGUAAAGAGCUCGUAGGCGGCUUUGUCAGUCGGGUGUGAAACCUCCAGGCUCAACCUGGAGCCGCCACCCGAUACUGCAAUAGCUAGAGUCCGGUAGGGGAGCAUGGAACUCCUGGUGUAGCGGUGGAAUGCGCAGAUAUCAGGAGGAACACCGGUGGCGAAGGCGGGUCUCUGGGCAGUAACUGACGCUGAGGAGCGAAAGCGUGGGGAGCGAACAGG
rnacentral:rRNA from 1 species